rnacentral:rRNA from 1 species
CCCAGCUUGCUGGGCGGAUUAGUGGCGAACGGGUGAGUAACACGUGAGCAACCUGCCCCUGACUCUGGGAUAACAGCCGGAAACGGUUGCUAAUACCGGAUACGCAUCAUGGCCGCAUGGUCUGUGGUGGGAAAGAUUUCUCGGUUGGGGAUGGGCUCGCGGCCUAUCAGCUUGUUGGUGAGGUAGUGGCUCACCAAGGCGUCGACGGGUAGCCGGCCUGAGAGGGUGACCGGCCACACUGGGACUGAGACACGGCCCAGACUCCUACGGGAGGCAGCAGUGGGGAAUAUUGCACAAUGGGCGGAAGCCUGAUGCAGCAACGCCGCGUGAGGGACGACGGCCUUCGGGUUGUAAACCUCUUUUAGCAGGGAAGAAGCGAGAGUGACGGUACCUGCAGAAAAAGCGCCGGCUAACUACGUGCCAGCAGCCGCGGUAAUACGUAGGGCGCAAGCGUUAUCCGGAAUUAUUGGGCGUAAAGAGCUCGUAGGCGGUUUGUCGCGUCUGCUGUGAAAUCCCGAGGCUCAACCUCGGGUCUGCAGUGGGUACGGGCAGACUAGAGUGCGGUAGGGGAGAUUGGAAUUCCUGGUGUAGCGGUGGAAUGCGCAGAUAUCAGGAGGAACACCGAUGGCGAAGGCAGAUCUCUGGGCCGUUACUGACGCUGAGGAGCGAAAGGGUGGGGAGCAAACAGGCUUAGAUACCCUGGUAGUCCACCCCGUAAACGUUGGGAACUAGUUGU